AACGAACGCUGGCGGCAUGCCUAACACAUGCAAGUCGAACGAGACCUUCGGGUCUAGUUGCGCACGGGUGCGUAACGCGUGGGAACCUGCCCUUAGGUUCGGAAUAACUCCCCGAAAGGGGUGCUAAUACCGGAUAAUGUCUUCGGACCAAAGAUUUAUCGCCUUUGGAUGGGCCCGCGUUGGAUUAGCUAGUUGGUAGGGUAAAAGCCUACCAAGGCGACGAUCCAUAGCUGGUCUGAGAGGAUGAUCAGCCACACUGGGACUGAGACACGGCCCAGACUCGGACGGGAGGGAGCAGUGGGGAAUAUUGGACGAUGGGCGAAAGCCUGAUCCAGCAAUGCCGCGUGAGUGAUGAAGGCGUGAGGGUUGUAAAGCUCUUUUACACGGGAUGAUAAUGACAGUACCGGGAGAAUAAGCACCGGCUAACUCCGUG
rnacentral:rRNA from 1 species